rnacentral:rRNA from 1 species
UACGUAGGGUGCGAGCGUUGUCCGGAAUUAUUGGGCGUAAAGAGCGUGUCGGCGGUCCGGUAAGUCGGCUGUGAAAGUCCAGGGCUCAACCCUGGGAUGCCGGUCGAUACUGCCGGACUAGAGUUCGGGAGAGGCGAGUGGAAUUCCCGGUGUAGCGGUGAAAUGCGCAGAUAUCGGGAGGAACACCUAUGGCGAAGGCAGCUCGCUGGGACGUUACUGACGCUGAGACGCGAAAGCGUGGGGAGCAAACAGG